rfam:Parasitella parasitica strain CBS 412.66 genome assembly, contig: contig_6366
GACUAAUUAGCAUAAUUGGUAAUUUACUGGAUUGCAAAUCUGUUAAAAAGUGUUCGAUUCACUUAUUAGUCU